rnacentral:rRNA from 1 species
CAGCCGCAACAGCCCGCUGGCUCACACGGGGUGCUCUUCAUCGAGUGUCCCGCGUGGCCGGCAGAGUUUACUUUGAAAAAAUUAGAGUGCUCAAAGCAGGCUACACUGACAGCCUGAAUGCCUAUGCAUGGAAUAAUGGAAUAGGACCUCGGUUCUAUUUUGUUGGUUUUCUGAACCCGAGGUAAUGACUAAUAGGAACAGGCGGGGGCAUUCGUAUUGCGACGCUAGAGGUGAAAUUCUUGGACCGUCGCAAGACGAACUACUGCGAAAGCAUUUGCCAAGGAUGUUUUCAUUAAUCAAGAACGAAAGUUAGAGGUUCGAAGGCGAUCAGAUACCGCCCUAGUUCUAACCAUAAACGAUGCUGACCAGCGAUCCGCCGGCGUUAUUCCCAUGACCCGGCGGGCAGCUUCCGGGAAACCAAAGUCUUUGGGUUCCGGGGGAAGUAUGGUUGCAAAGCUGAAACUUAAAGGAAUUGACGGAAGGGCACCACCAGGAGUGGAGCCUGCGGCUUAAUUUGACUCAACACGGGGAACCUCACCAGGCCCAGACACCGGAAGGAUUGACAGAUUGAGAGCUCUUUCUCGAUUCGGUGGGUGGUGGUGCAUGGCCGUUCUUANUUGGUGGAGCGAUUUGUCUGGUUAAUUCC